rnacentral:rRNA from 1 species
UGAGGAAUAUUGGUCAAUGGACGGAAGUCUGAACCAGCCAAGUAGCGUGCAGGAUGACGGCCCUAUGGGUUGUAAGCUGCUUUUAUGCGGGGAUAAAGUGUGGGACGUGUCCCAUAUUGCAGGUACCGCAUGAAUAAGGACCGGCUAAUUCCGUGCCAGCAGCCGCGGUAAUACGGAAGGUCCUGGUGUUAUCCGGAUUUAUUGGGUUUAAAGGGAGCGUAGGCUGUUGCUUAAGCGUGUUGUGAAAUGCCGCGGCUCAACCGUGGCACUGCAGCGCGAACUGGGCGGCUUGAGUUACCGGUAGGCAGGCGGAAUUCGUGGUGUAGCGGUGAAAUGCUUAGAUAUUGGGAGGAACACCAGUGGCGAAGGCGGCUUACUGGACGAUGACUGACGUUGAGGCUCGAAAGCGUGGGGAGCAAACAGGAUUAGAUACCCUGGUAGU